GUUGAACGCUGGCGGCAGGCCUAACACAUGCAAGUCGAGCGGAUGAAGGGAGCUUGCUCCUGGAUUCAGCGGCGGACGGGUGAGUAAUGCCUAGGAAUCUGCCUGGUAGUGGGGGAUAACGUCCGGAAACGGGCGCUAAUACCGCAUACGUCCUGAGGGAGAAAGUGGGGGAUCUUCGGACCUCACGCUAUCAGAUGAGCCUAGGUCGGAUUAGCUAGUUGGUGGGGUAAAGGCCUACCAAGGCGACGAUCCGUAACUGGUCUGAGAGGAUGAUCAGUCACACUGGAACUGAGACACGGUCCAGACUCCUACGGGAGGCAGCAGUGGGGAAUAUUGGACAAUGGGCGAAAGCCUGAUCCAGCCAUGCCGCGUGUGUGAAGAAGGUCUUCGGAUUGUAAAGCACUUUAAGUUGGGAGGAAGGGCAGUAAGUUAAUACCUUGCUGUUUUGACGUUACCAACAGAAUAAGCACCGGCUAACUUCGU
rnacentral:rRNA from 1 species